GUAGUUGUGGCCGAGUGGUCAAGGCGCCAGACGAGAAGUCUGGGGGUGAUUAAUCCCCGCGUGGGUUCGAAUCCCACCAACUACC